AGAGUUUGAUCAUGGCUCAGGACGAACGCUGGCGGCGUGCUUAACACAUGCAAGUCGAACGAUGAAGGAGGAGCUUGCUCCUCCGGAUUAGUGGCGAACGGGUGAGUAAUACGUGAGCAAUGUGCCCUUGACUCUGGGAUAAGCGCUGGAAACGGCGUCUAAUACCGGAUACGACCAUCGGAGGCAUCUCCUGGUGGUGGAAAGAACUUCGGUCAAGGAUCAGCUCACGGCCUAUCAGCUUGUUGGUGAGGUAAUGGCUCACCAAGGCGACGACGGGUAGCCGGCCUGAGAGGGUGACCGGCCACACUGGGACUGAGACACGGCCCAGACUCCUACGGGAGGCAGCAGUGGGGAAUAUUGCACAAUGGGCGCAAGCCUGAUGCAGCAACGCCGCGUGAGGGACGAAGGCCUUCGGGUUGUAAACCUCUUUUAGCAGGGAAGAAGCGAAAGUGACGGUACCUGCAGAAAAAGCACCGGCUAACUACGUGCCAGCAGCCGCGGUAAUACGUAGGGUGCAAGCGUUGUCCGGAAUUAUUGGGCGUAAAGAGCUCGUAGGCGGUUUGUCACGUCUGCUGUGAAAACCCGAGGCUCAACCUCGGGCUUGCAGUGGGUACGGGCAGACUAGAGUGCGGUAGGUGAGAUUGGAAUUCCUGGUGUAGCGGUGGAAUGCGCAGAUAUCAGGAGGAACACCGAUGGCGAAGGCAGAUCUCUGGGCCGUAACUGACGC
rnacentral:rRNA from 1 species